GCAGAUUCAGACAUUUGGUUCAUGUGCUUGGCUGAUAAGCCAAUGGUGCGAAGCUACCAUCUGAGGGAUUAUGACUGAACGCCUCUAAGUCAGAAUCCCGCCUGGAAAGCGACGAUGCAUUCGUGCCUCUGCCUCGAGAGGCGUAGCUAGACGGCCGCGUGGCCGUGGAAAGAACCCGAUUCCGACCCGAGAGGCCGCGGCAAGAGGCGGCCUCGAAGUCGGUGGAUCCUCCUGCUCGAAAGGCGGGGUGCUAAACCAUUCGCAGACGACCUAGUUGAAGAUCGGGGUGUCGUGAUCACUAGAGCAGUACAUCUCACUGCGAUUUGUUGAGAGUAAGCCUCAAGAUCUGUCGGUUUGU
rnacentral:ncRNA from 1 species